rnacentral:pre_miRNA from 1 species
UGAUGAUGAUGAUGAUGAUGAUGAUGAUGAUGAUGAUGAUGAUGAUGAUAAUGAUGAUGAUCAUCAUCAUCAUCAUCAUCAUCAUGAUGAUGAUGA